GUAGGGAAUAUUGGGCAAUGGAGGCAACUCUGACCCAGCCAUGCCGCGUGCAGGAUGACGGCCCUCUGGGUUGUAAACUGCUUUUAUACGGGAAGAAAAAAUACUACGUGUAGUAUACUGACGGUACCGUAAGAAUAAGGAUCGGCUAACUCCGUGCCAGCAGCCGCGGUAAUACGGAGGAUCCAAGCGUUGUCCGGAUUUAUUGGGUUUACAGGGUGCGUAGGCGGAUCUUUAAGUCAGUGGUGAAAGCCUGCAGCUUAACUGUAGAAUUGCCAUUGAAACUGAAGAUCUUGAAUGUGGUUAAAGUAGGCGGAAUGUAUCAUGUAGCGGUGAAAUGCUUAGAUAUGAUACAGAACACCGAUAGCGAAGGCAGCUUGCUGAACCAUUAUUGACGCUGAGGCACGAAAGCGUGGGGAGCGAACAGGAUUAGAAACCCUGGUAGUCC
rnacentral:rRNA from 1 species